UACGUAGGGUGCAAGCGUUGUCCGGAAUUAUUGGGCGUAAAGAGCUCGUAGGCGGUUUGUCACGUCGGAUGUGAAACCCUGAGGCUCAACCUCAGGCCUGCAUUCGAUACGGGCAGACUAGAAUUCGGCAGGGGAGACUGGAAUUCCUGGUGUAGCGGUGAAAUGCGCAGAUAUCAGGAGGAACACCAGUGGCGAAGGCGGCUCACUGGCCCGGUACUGACGCUGAGACGCGAAAGCGUGGGGAGCAAACGGG
rnacentral:rRNA from 1 species